GGGCCCGUGGCCCAGUACGGAUAAGGCAUUGGCCUUCGGAGCCAAGGAUCGUGGGUUCAAAUCCCACCGGGCCCG
rnacentral:tRNA from 1 species